rnacentral:rRNA from 1 species
GUCUAUGGCCAUAUCACCCUGAACGCGCAUGAUCUCGUCUAAUCUUGGAAGCUAAGCAAGGUCGGGCCUGGUUAGUACUUGGAUAGGAACAAUGAAGGGGCUGCGGGUGUAGCUCAGGGGCCACAGCAC